GGUGCCUGUGGCUCAGGGUGAAAGGCUAGGAUCAAGGUGCAAACCUGAACUACAGUCAUCGCAAGACUCAACUGUGAGACGGUAUGCCUCUCAGCUAACGUACCUGGCUCUUGGCAGAUUUCAGUGUUUUGCCUGGAGACCCUCUUCGCCUGCCUCACAGCACCGGCAGCUGGCUUCCCCUAGAACAAGAGAGCUAGCGGGGGUCAAACGUUUGCCCAAGAAGGUAGAUGCAGUCUUUAGCACCUAAUCAGCAAAUGGCAUCCCAUUACUCUGAGACAUUUUACGCCUCAGGACUGCGUCAUUAAAUCCAGUAUACACUUACGUGGAAGAGUAUACACAUACGCAUGCGCACCAAGAGGCAGGAAAAGAUGGAGGAUAUCUUAGAAGCUGUUUACUGCAGUUAGGCCCCUGGCACCUAAAAUUCACAAUUCUUCCAAAGGCAAAAUAGUCUCAUCCCCUCCCAAGUUCUCCCAAACUCUCGUCUCAUUAAAGGAGCUCAGAAAUCCAGAAUCUUAUCAUCUAGAUCAGGCCCAGGUAUGGAGGAAGCAUCUCUGGGGGAGUUCCUUUUUGUUCUUCUUAUGGCCACACCUGCAUUAUAUGAAAGUCCUCAGGGUGGGAGUCAUUCGGAGCUGCAGCUGCUGGCCUAUGCCACAGCCACGGGGAGCAGAGAUCUCAACUACCUGUAUAGCCCUGCAUCUUGGGUCUUGGGAAGGCUCUGGCUAAGUCCUGUGGAAGGUCCCACAAAUAUCUAAUGCCAGUUAGGAAGCUCCCAGGUCCUAGACGAGGCCAAUUUUAUGCAACAUUAAUGGCUUCAUCUCCAUCCUAAGAACGUCCAGGACCUUUCAGACCCUCAUUGGAAGAUCAUGCACAGGUCAAUGACCAAUGCUCAGGGCUCCCACCCCAAACCACAGGGUUGGCCACGCCCAAGGUAUUACCAAAGCCAAUCCAUGCCUCAUUAUAGGAUGAGGAGAGAAACAGGCUUCCAAAGUCUUCGAGGCCUCAACUAGCUCAUCUGGUCUGCACUACAGCUUGUUGACUUUCUAAAAGGUCUCAGAUCUCCUUGACCCCUGGAGACCGUGUGUGCAAGAGUCAUAAGAGAGCACAAGUCAAGGAAGGAAAUGUGCAGAUUGAAUCAAGGACUUCAUGAGAGGGCAAUUACAGGUCAGGAAGAAGCCGCCAUGCCUUCAGACUCUGGAUACACAUUGGUCUAUAAUCGGAACAUCAGCUUCUUCCCAGUCCUGGGAAGGCCCAAGGCCAAGCAGUCACUUGGCCAGAGGACAGUCAGGUCAGGCACUGGUGCCCCUGUUCUCCUCCAGGGCUCUCCUCUGUGACCCCAGGCCAUAACCAUUCCCCAAGCCCUUCUCUGUACACAGCAGGAGAUCACUCACUUCGGAAUUAAAUCCACUGCAUCAGGCACACUUCUGGAACCCUCAAAGUCCCCAGGGUAUUUUGGAGAUAGGGUUUGGCAGGUUGGGCCUUGACUAGCUCAUCUAAUUUACCAUGAUGACUCCUGAACUCCCAAAGUGAGUGCUUCCGGCCUCAAGCUAUAUAGUCCCCCAAAGGCCCUCUGAGAACAGGAGACCAAGAAGAGGGAUACUGGGCCAUUGGGAUUCAGAGGAAAACCAGGUCCGAGGCAACACAGGAAGCUCUCUCCAUGCCCUGCUCCACAGACCUGACGAUUACCCCAUGAGCCACAGACCUGUCCCUGCUUUGGACCAGGAGUCAGGCUUAUAGGCUCACCAGAGAAAAAGUGUCAAGCUUCCAAUGGCAUCCAUGAGGCAUGACUCUAUUCUUUAAACUGCACCCACAUUUCAAGACCAUCUCCCUUAUGUGGCUAAGACCUCGUGGAAUUUAGGUGUCAAACGUAACAGUUAACCCUCCAAACAGGCCAGAGCUUCUCCCCAUCUCCCGAUCCCAGACGGCUCAUGGGUUCCACAAUCUUGAGAGAUUCACAAGAUCCAAAUUUCCUUUCCCCAGAGCAGGCUGGAUCUGGCACCUAGUCUAGCUUGAGGUUUUAUACUCUCAGAGGGGUAAAGACACGGAAUGUACUUGAGAAUGAGGGGGGAAAAAGAGCCGAAGUGUGACUUGCAGGUGAAGAAUUCAAGAGGUAGAGCAAAUGGAACAAAGAGGCAGAGAGGAGAUUAACUUGGUUAUUCUUUUAUUCUAUUGUAUUGAUGAGUGAACAUCCUAAAUGCACUACUCUGUGAAAUGACACAAAACAAAGCAAAUGCCCAAAGGCUGAUAAGAAUUCAGGUGCUUAGUGAGCUCCGACAGCUGGAGGAGGAAUGGUGGGAUUAGCAAGAAUGGUGUGUUUGCAAUGACUAGUGGGCCUGGGAGUCUUAAGGUAUUUGGGGAUGAUGGGCUUGGGGGAGUUUUAUGAGCCUGGAGACUAGGACAACGCACCAGCUGGGUGAGGUGGGGUGAAAUGCAAGAGGCUCUCGUUUAUGUAGUUUCACUGACACAGACCAGGUAGAGAGGGCAGUAGGAGCCAGUCCUGGACAAGUGAUUGAACUCAAUGCUUUUGGGCAAAUGGGGCUUCCUCGUGGGGCAGGAAUUCAGAAAAGCAGCAACUUGUGUUUGUUUUGAAAUCUACCUACAAAGUAGAGUUCAAAGUACAGCUAAGUCAGUCCCCAACUGCUCUCCAUUAGGGCAGUUUACCCCAAUCAGAGAAGAGAAGCAAGGAGUUCCCACCAUGGCACAGUGAGUUAAGAAUCCAACUGCAGCAGCUCAGGCCGCUGCAGAGAUGCAGGUUUCAUCUUCGGCCCGGUGCAGUGGGUUAAAGGAUUCCAUAUUGCUGCAGCUGCAGUAAUAUAUACCAGCUGCGACUCUAUUCAGUCCCUGGCCCCAAACCUUCCAUAUGCCAUGGGUGCAGCCAAAAAAUUAAAAGAUAGAGAAGAGACUAUUUGAGAAGAGGAAACAGAAUCUUAGUCAAUCCAUGGAGCCAAGAGAUGGAAACGUGUUGAAAGGGAGGUGGCAGGGAACAGGGAAAAAAAACAGAUCAUGCAGACAACAGCAAUGGAAUCAGAAAGGGGGGUACGGGGAACAUGGUAAAGGAAUUGGGAACAGUGAUGGGCACUUGGGAGGGGCGUGCAGAGUCUGUGAGGGAAGGCAGGGAGGGAGAAGAGAAGCAGAGAGCAAGGCACACGGAGGAGCCGUAGGCAACAUGGAGAGGAAAUAAGCCAUAGUCCUGGAGCUGCAGGGUCAGCUUUGGGGGCUGCUCCUGGUGCAAGUUCAUGCCACCUGUCAUCAACCAUGAAGCUCAGUUUUGCUAUAAAAGCAGCACCUGCCAGGAAUCCAUAUGGCAAGUAUUGAGAUUCAGGUAACUUGAAAUACAGAUAACUUUGAGGGAACACACGGUACAACAUUAGAACCAGAACAAUGAGUCCAGACAGCCUGUAAAAGAACACAGUGUGGGUCACAGGGCUCCGUUCCAGAAGCUCAGGGCCCACUGAGGCAGGUAAAGAAUCCUCAAGGACCUCCCACUGUAGAGCACAGCCGAAGACCUUAUGUGAGAGACAAUGUGUGACCAGACCCACAUAGGGGAACCAGUUAGAGGGAUUCAGGCAGGACAAGGAGCCUGGCAUGUGUCACGUAGCCCACAUGAAGAAACCUUUGCUGGGGAUUCCUGCCUCAAGGCUGGUCUCACGCAGAAUCAGUGAUGUAGCUAAUGAGAAGACAGCAAAUGUCCUCACGAAGCUUCUGAUCGUCUGUGACAGAGAAGGCAUGAAAUGGGACAGAAAAGUUUCUGUGUGAUGCGGGGGGUGGGGGUGAGGGGGUGAGUCUUGGAGGCCUGAGUCCCACCUGGCUCCCUCAACCACAGGAGAAGGGGAUAAGGUGUGUGUAUGGAAAGGGGGGUGGGUUUACAAGUAGGAGGAAGCAUUGAAAACUAUACCUUCCUGAUGAUGAACGCAUGAAAGAGCGAGUCAGGGACCCCGCUGACACCCCCACCCACACCGUGUCCAGAUAAUGGGAAAGACACACAGAUCCUAGACGCUUGCAACAAGUUUCCACAAGGCAUCAAAGAGAAUGCAGCCAAACUCAAACUAAGAUCAAAUCCAGGACAUGCUCUUCCCACCUUGGACGCCUCCAGGCAGGACCUUCCUCUCCGCCCACCCCACCCCCCUCUAGGUCAAGUGCCCCAGCUUUACCUCACCUGCCCGGCUUUACCUCUGGUCCUCAGCUUUGCGCCACAGGCCCAGCCUCACCCCAACUUUACUUCACGUGCCCAGCCAAAAGCAGGACCCUCACCCGCAGCCCAGCUCCCCGCUUUACCUCGCAGGAACCCUGCUUUAUGGCCCUUUCCCAGUCUGGCUCACAGCAGUUUCCCAGUCUUUACGUCACCUGACCCUGCUUUACGGCACUUUUCCGGGCUUCGUUUACAUCCGGUUCACAAAUUGAAUGUCACCUGGCCCUGCUUUCUGUCGGCUCCCCAGGCUCUAUGACACGUGAUUCGGUUUUAUGUUCCCGUCCCCAGACUUUUUGUCACGUGAUCCUUCUUUACCUCAUCCUUGCUUUAAGUUAGUGCCCCCACGUUUUUCUUUUCUUUUUUUAAAGCUUCAUUGAAGUAUAGUUGAUUCACAACGUCGUGCCACCUCAGGCCUUUUUUACGUCAGUCACCUGCUUGGCCUUACCUCAGGUUUGCAGGCCUUUCAUCAUGCGAUCUGGUUUUAACAUCAGGUCCUUAAAUAGGGAGAAACCUAAUCUGACUUCAUAUUUAUUACAUGUCAUCUUUUGCUUUAACUUUUUAUGACAAGUUAAUCACUAAAGGGAUGUUGCCUGUAGCCUAAAAUAUAUACGCUGGCCCAUCUGCAGGAACCUGCCCACCCCAUGCCUGAAUGUCAAACUAAAAUACCUUUUUUCAGCUCACAGGAAACAUUCUGAGCCAGCCCACCUGUGUUUGGGAGUCUGGCCGAAAUGAAGACAACUUCGCAAAACUCAUGGUAUUUUUUAUUUUACUUCCUCAAGUCCCUUUUUCUUUGUUCUCUAAAAGAAACUAAUGGAGUUCCCUUCGUGGCCCAGAGGUAAGGAUCUGGCAUUGCUGUGGCUGUGGUGUAGGCCGGCAGCUGUAGCUGGGAUUCUACCCCUAGCCUGGGAACUUCUAUAUGCUGCAGAUGUGGCAAAGAAAGAAAGAAGGAAGGAAGGAAGAGGGGGGAGGGAGGCAAAGAAAGGAAGGAAGAAAGAAAGAG
rnacentral:lncRNA from 1 species